CCUGAAAUGAGCCUUGAUGGUUUCCGAAAGACAAAUGCGCUUUCGGAAUGAAAAGGGAAUACGGUGAGGAAUAGCCAACAGGCGCCAAAACCGUGACUGCCCCCGCAACUGUGAGCGGCGAGCGACCCCGAUGAACACCACUGAACGCCCAGCGUUCGGGAAGGUUCGGGCAAGCGACAACCCGCAAGUCAGGAGACCUGCCAUCAAAAGUGUAACUUC
rnacentral:ncRNA from 2 species